CUCUGAAUGCUGCUUUUGAGACUGUGGCUUGUUCACACAGGGGUCACAGUAGCCUUCCAUGGGCAUUCCGACCCACAGGGAAGAAAUGCAAAGUCGCAUGAAAAGCGUAGAAGAAGAGUUCCUACAUUUCAGCAUUGACAGGAACCGCUCAGAGGCUAAAUCACCUCAGUUGUGAGUCUGACUUCGUUCUAACGCCAUAUGUGAGAAACUAUUCAGCAGCAGCCUAGCAACUCAGAAGCACAGGGAAAUACCAACGCCCACCAGCUGUCCAAGAUGCAGAGAGGAAGCAGGUCGGCCUUGAACACCGAAAAGGAAGGUUACAAGUUGUAGAAUUGUUUUCUUCUGUGGUGCAAAGAGCAUACAGGAGCAGCUGCCCUCUUCUGUUCUUGAGGUGGCUGGCCACAUGCCCAGAACUGCCUUGGGAGCCACAGUGCUGGACCACAAAUGAUUUCUACUACAUGGUCAGUGCAUGGGGAACAAUACAGGAGUGUGAGAAGAAAGGACGGAUUACCAUAGCCCCAGAAACCCAGAAUGGAGUCUGGCGAGGAGAGAGCUGAGAGUCUGAGUGGAGAGAGAACACUUGAAGAAAACAAGACAAUUGCAAAUACAGAUUUGUUGCUGUUUUAAACCAAAACAAAAAAAAAUCAAGGACUUGUUCUUGGAGUAUAUUUUCGGGCUCCUCCCAG
rnacentral:lncRNA from 1 species